CUGGAAUUCGCCCUUACUCCUACGGGAGGCAGCAGUGGGGAAUCUUAGACAAUGGGGGCAACCCUGAUCUAGCCAUGCCGCGUGAGUGAUGAAGGCCUUAGGGUUGUAAAGCUCUUUCAGCUGGGAAGAUAAUGACGGUACCAGCAGAAGAAGCCCCGGCUAACUCCGUGCCAGCAGCCGCGGUAAU
rnacentral:rRNA from 1 species